UAAUUCGUAACGGAAGUCACUUUUUCCAUCCAAAAACAGACACGUGCCAUGCACGCAUACAUGAUUCAAGGGUGAAUUUACACUUUCCCGCCACUUACACCAGCCCUAACUCAUCAUAAUGCGAUUAGGGUUCCAACAAUUGUCCCAUACGACGAAUUGAAUAUCAAAAGUUGGGGGAUUUGAGUUCUGACUAAAGGGGAAUUGAGAAUCGGCUAAAAAAUUGACUCAUUGGAACAAGAUUUUUCAACAUGGCAGUAGGCGACAAUGGAGAUGAAGUGUCCGAUUAUGAACAUAGGAAACAAGCAAAGAACCAGGCAACCACAAUAGGAUCCGACAACUGUCCAAAGCAGGAGGACAACCGGCUUGGCUGGUCGACUAGCCAAAUGACAAGGUGGUCGGCCGGUGGUGAUUUUGCUCAGUUUUGUAGAAACAAAGAGGUGUAAAUUGAUCACUUUGCUCUUGAAUCAUGUGCGUGUGCGUGGCACAUGACUAUUUUUGGAUUGACUUCCGUUACCAAUUGACUUUUUUUAAGACAACUCCAUAACUUGGAAGGUUAAUGUGCCUAAUUUGAAAGUCCAUGGACCAAAUUGAGAGGGACCGUUUGUGUAAUUUACCUUAUAAAUUAAGUUUGGUGACUUAGAAA